UAAAGAUGCUGCAGCUCUCUGCAAAAGUAAUAGGUGCGUCUGGAAGGACUCCUUGACAACAUUCGUGGCCUGCUGCUUUGUUCUUAACAGAAAACUUCAAGGUCGUAGAGUCCUAGGAAUCUUUGCUAUCUGGAGACCAUCACAACAGAGAUUUUCCUCGUGAGAAAAUAUCCAGGGUUGGAACGAACUGUACUAGUCCCGUGUUUCUGAAGUUGUUGCUCUGUACUCCCAUCAAAACAAACUGUGGCUUCCAGAGCAAAAACCGUAUUCAUGCAGCUCCUCAUGUUUCAAAGAUGUCCCCGGAUUGUAAUAGGUAUCCAGCAAAAUUCUCCCAGCCGCUGGAUCUGCUGAGCACAAGUCUUUUCUGAGCAAUGGUCUUUUUACCUGAAUUUGAAUGUGUGGGGAUAGUUUUGAACAGGCUUCUGUCAGACCAAAAUUCAGUUUUUGUCUACACCAGAAGGGCACCGGUUUAAUAGAAGAAUCCCAAAAGAUGCGUAGAAGAAAACCACUGCAAUGACUUUUGAGUGCGAUGUCCCAACUUCAAUCUCCUCUUCUCAACUGAUUUGCCCGUUUCAUCAGGACCCAAAUUCAGCUGGCUGUGACUUCAAGCUUGACUCUGCUUCUGGAUGUGCCCUUGAGAAAAAGUGAAUGUAUAAGCUGCACCAACCCAAGACUGGCCCCAAGAGAUGCUGUGACCGGUGGCGUAAGUAGGACCAACACGGUUACCAAGUACACCUCUGAAACAUGGAAGAUGCUGAAUUUCAGCCAUUUUUGGAUUUUAAACUUCAUUGCAGAACUACAAGGAAGUUUUCUUACCUCCCUACCUACCAUCUGACACCUUAAGGGAAGGAAUUCUACUUGAUCAACACAUCAAAGAGCUCCUCAACACAGCUCACAAAGCCACUCUCACGGGCCCAGAGGGACAGCCUUCCAUCUUCAGCUCUCUCUGUGCAAAAAUGAAGUUUAUUUCCUACCUAUGGGAACUUUUUACCAUCUUGUAUCAUCUACACUUUUCCCAGAGCCUGACAAAGGGACUUUGAUCCCAAAAGCUUGCAGAAAAGGACAGUUUUCUUGCCAUUUUCCAGUUGGUCUAAUAAAAGGUAUCAUUUUGGAACCAA